rnacentral:rRNA from 1 species
CAGAACGAACGCUGGCGGCGCGUCUUAAGCAUGCAAGUCGAACGGCAAGAGGUAGCAAUACCUCCUAGAGUGGCGGACUGGUGAGUAACACGUGGGUGACAUACCCUUCAGAUGGGGAUAGCUAUUAGAAAUAGUAGAUAAUACCGAAUACGAGCACAGGGGUUAGAGAUCUGUGAGGAAAGGAGCUAAGGCUCCGCUGAAGGAAUGGCCUGCGGCCCAUUAGCUAGUUGGUGAGGUAAGAGCCCACCAAGGCGAUGAUGGGUAUCCGGCCUUAGAGGGUGAACGGACACAUUGGGACUGAGACACGGCCCAUACUCCUACGGGAGGCAGCAGUAGGGAGUUUUCGGCAAUGGGGGAAACCCUGACCGAGCAACGCCGCGUGAACGAAUGAAGGUCUUCGGAUUGUAAAGUCCUGUUGUAGGGGAUGAAUGAUUCGUGAAGGAAAUGUCACGAAUUUGACAGUACUCUACCAGAAAGCCACGGCUAACUACGUGCCAGCCGCCGC